ACAAGGUUGAUUAAUUCUUUAAUUAAAUCUGCGACGACCAACAAUUUCACAUCGCAUUGAAUCAUUCGUCGAAAAUACAACAUUCAUUCUGUCCACAUCGUACUACUUCAUUUCCACCAUCUCUAUAAAUGCUGCUUCACAUUAACAAUUACUUCUAAAUCAACAAAAAUGGAAGAUUCAGUGAGAAGGGGUUUCAUGGCAGCUAUUGCAGUUUCCGGAGGCGUAGUCUUCCUAGCAGUGCAUGCUCACAAUCGACUUCUUUCUGAUUUCAUCAACAAAAUCGAAUUUCAGACCAAAACCUCCACUGGGAGGUCGAAGGAUGGGGUGAGAAAGAAGGUGAGGUUCGCGGAGUCAAAAGACGAAAAGUAUUAUGUGAAGAAGGAGCGGCGGGAGGCAACUUGCCGGAAUAAUGGUGAAAUUUUAGAGGGUAUGCCUCAAAACCGGCAAGUUUUGUACAAAGGAAUUAUGCAAAAUAGGAAUCGUAUGUUUUGAUGAUGAAAAGUGGCUAAUCGCUUGUCAAUUACUACUCUGAUCAACGUUUAAUUUCUAUUCUAAUUUCUACGUAUGUAAGUAUGUUGUUCGUGUUGUGCACGUAUAUAUACAUAUGUGAUGAUACAAACCACAAAUUGUCUGCAAUUGAUGAUUUGGAUUGGAAGUUCUA